rnacentral:rRNA from 1 species
GACGAACGCUGGCGGCGUGCCUAAUACAUGCAAGUCGAACGAGUGGCGGACGGGUGAGUAAUGUAUGGGGAACUGCCCGAUAGCGGGGGAUAACUCCUGGACACGGUGGCUAAUAACGCAUACUAUCGGAUGCACCCAUAUGGGCUUAGCUAGUAGGUGGGGUAAAGGCUCACCUAGGCGACGAUGUCUAGCUGGUCUGAGAGGAUGAUCAGCCACACUGUGACUGAGACACGGCCCAGACUCCUACGGGAGGCAGCAGUGGGGAAUAUUGCACAAUGGGCGAAAGCCUGAUGCAGCCAUGCCGCGUGGAUGAAGAAGGCCUUAGGGUGGUAAAGUACUGUCAUCGGGGAGGCGUUACCCGCAGAAGAAGCACCGGCUAACUACGUGCCAGCAGCCGCGGUAAUAC